AGAAAAAUUGUACGUAUAUAGUCAUCCCUUCUGCUUAUUCCAUUCCUUUAAGAUCAUAGAAUGGCCAUAGACAAUUUUAAUAACUUUGCUUUAAAAAUUGAACUCUGUAAUAGGACAUUAAGAAACUUCAUAAGCAGAUUCAACGAUGUUAUGCAGAAAACCGACGGGCACUGCAUCCUGUACAGUUUUACUUGACAAGCCACGGAGGCCAGCUGAAAAAGAACAUGGAUGAAAAUGACAAAGGAUGGGUCAACUGGAAG
rnacentral:sRNA from 1 species